GGGCCGGUAGCUCAGAGGUAGAGCACCUGACUUUUAAUCAGAGGGUCGUGGGUUCGAUCCCCACCCGGCUCACCA
rnacentral:tRNA from 7 species